CCUACGGGGCGCUGCAGUGGGGAAUAUUGGACAAUGGGCGAAAGCCUGAUCCAGCCAUGCCGCGUGUGUGAAGAAGGCCUUCGGGUUGUAAAGCACUUUCAGUGGGGAAGAAAGCCUUGGGGCUAAUACCCUCGAGGAAGGACAUCACCCACAGAAGAAGCACCGGCUAACUCCGUGCCAGCAGCCGCGGUAAUACGGAGGGUGCGAGCGUUAAUCGGAAUUACUGGGCGUAAAGCGCGCGUAGGCGGUCUGAUAAGCCGGUUGUGAAAGCCCCAGGCUCAACCUGGGAACGGCAUCCGGAACUGUCAGGCUAGAGUGCAGGAGAGGAAGGUAGAAUUCCCGGUGUAGCAGUGAAAUGCGUAGAGAUCGGGAGGAAUACCAGUGGCGAAGGCGGCCUUCUGGACUGACACUGACGCUGAGGUGCGAAAGCGUGGGUAGCAAACAGGAUUAGAUACCCGGGUAGUC
rnacentral:rRNA from 1 species